rnacentral:lncRNA from 1 species
AAUUCUCCUCUUAAAGUUUGGAGACGUACCUUCUUUACUUGCUCGGAACCUUUGCAAGACGUUUGGAGUUACUCCCACGCUUCCUUAGCAGUGGUUGCACUUGAGAUCUUCUCGAACCCAUCAUCGUCGAAUGCUUGGUAGAUGAGGUAGAGAGCUUUCUUGUCUCUCUUUCUUGAAUCCUUCAAACCAUCUUUUUGAGUUUGGGAUAAUGUAGAUUCAUCUCGGGGCUCAUUGUAAUCUUUCUCUACAAUAUCCCAAACAUCAUGUGCACCUAGGAGAGCCUUCAUUUUGAUACUCCAAUUAUCAUAGUUGCUCUUGUUGAGCAUAGGAACUUGGAAGGAUGCAACACCAUUUGCCAUGGUUUUAGAAAUUUUUGGUUAGAAUCUUGCGGCUCUGAUACCACUUUGUUGAAAGAGGAUUACUAUUAAUAUUUGGAGGGAGGCUUUUAGGCUAAGGGAAUUUUGGAAGAGUAGAAAGAUUUUGGAGAAGAGAAACUUUUAUUACUCAAACUUGUUUCUGAUUUUUUUUGGCUUGAUACAAAAUGAGCAAUCCUACACCUAUUUAUA